rnacentral:rRNA from 1 species
GUAGGGGGCAAGUGUUAUCCGGAUUUACUGGGUGUAAAGGGAGUGUAGGCGGUACGGCAAGUCUGAUGUGAAAACCCUAAGCUCAACUAAGGGAGUGCAUUGGAAACUGUCGGACUAGAGUGUGGGAGAGGCAGGCGGAAUUCCUAGUGUAGCGGUGAAAUGCGUAGAUAUUAGGAGGAACACCAGUGGCGAAGGCGGCCUGCUGGACCAAGACUGACGCUGAGGCUCGAAAGCGUGGGGAGCAA